UUCAUGGAGAGCCACCAAGGAGAGCUGCUGACCCGGGCACCCUGGCAGAGACACGCCAAAGCUGCAAGGUGGGGGCCGGCAAGAGCUGGCCAGCUGGUUCUGUCUGCAGCACAGGGGCCAUGAGCUCAUAGAGCAAACAGCCACUGCACAAACACACAGGAUCAACUGCAAGUUGCUCACAGGAGGGAAGAAGCCACAAAGAAACAUGGCAGGAAGCGACUGCUCAUAACCUGUGGGUAUCCAAGGCAGGAAGGGGAGAAAAUAAAAAUCACUACUCAGUUCCAAGAGCUCAAGAGCCAGCUGACAGCGACUGCAGAGGGGACCAGCCCAAAUCUGUUUCAGAGUCUCAAG